CUUGGCCGAGGAAAAAUGAUAAGGAAGCCUGCUACUGCAACAACAAGAUGGUACCAUCCAAAUCUGCUUCUCAACUACCAUCACAACCAGCCCUGAGAGCAACUUCUAAUGCAGCAGCCACAAUAACUCAAUUGCCAUUUGAAGAGCCACAAGUCAAUCAACAUCCUAUAACUCACAACUCAGAGAUGAAGAUGGUGUCCAAAACAAUGGAGAUAAUUCGGAAACAGAGGAUUUGGAGGAAGACUUGUGAUUCAAAAAGUCAUUUUCAGUCAUUUUUAGUUUAGGAUUUAGCUAGUCUUGGCAAACAAUUUUUCUUUUUAUUAGCUAUUAUUAUUUUUGGGUUGAAUUUUGUAAACUCUAUUUGAUUUAUGAUUUAAUAAGUCUUUGAUUA